GGAGAAGGACAGGCAGGGAAAAGCUGCAGCCCUUGGCCACACUGGGGCCCAGAGCAGCCAAGAGCGAGGCAGAAGUGGGGAGAGCAGAGGCCGACCCUGGCCAGGACCAGACGGUGAGUGCCUGUGCUUGGUGGGGGGGGCGGCUUUGGGAAAGAUCCUUGUCAAUAAGAAGAGAGAGGAAAAAAAUCUAGACAGAGGGAAGGAAAAGCAAGAGAGGAGGAAAAAAGAAAAAGAAAAACAAUAAAUGGGAAAAGGGGGAAAAGUUUGUUUUUAAUAGAUAAGCUAAGCUGAAACUUAGGCAUUUUGUAUUUGAAUAGAUGUGGAUAUCCUGUAUGUAGAUUUCAAAUCGAUAUUUAUUUAUGGGGAUCCAGUGUGCAAAUGUGCUGUACUCUAGGUUGUGUAUAGAAUAUGUAAUAAAUAAAUACACCCUACUAUAAUAGCGGAUGUGCUUGGGUGUUCACACAGAAGACCCAAUGGUGCAUAUGUGGAGGCAUGUAUAAUCCCUGUGAAUGAUGUGAGUUUACGAUUCUGUUCAUAGAAGAAGAUCUGUUACCCAAAAGCUUGUGCAUACAUUUUUAUAACUAUCACACACCUACGGAAAGGGCAAAAACUUGAGUAUUUGUGUACUUGAAUUUUGGCUAUAAAACAUCCGUUGAUCAGGAAGCCUUGCUUGAAAAUCUCCUGUUGACUUGAUAUUCAGGCAAAAUAUAUACCGUAUCCUCAAACAAACGCAUGUGGCUUACAUCUGAAUCCUUUGAUAACUUUCUUCCAAAAUAUUUCUGUGGAAGGUAAAGGAAAUGCCUCAGACUGGCCCAGGGGAGGUCAUGAAAUUUUGUGACUUUUUUUUUUUUUUUUUUGGUCCGACCAUGACCUCCUUUACUGUGUAUCUCACCCCAAACUGCAGGAACGAUGUACAUCGUGUGAUGUUUCUUUCAUGGUAGUGAUGGACACAACGAUGUAGGCACCAUUACCUGCACACAAGCGUGUCCCUCACAAGUGUGAAUCUGACCAGUGGGCAGAGAUGAGCUGAAUGUGAAAGCCCUCAGGUAACUGUGGGGGUCACACAAAAGCACUGCUAUCUACAACGAAAUUACAAAGGUCCCCAAGCCUAUGUCUCCAACCACCCAGAGAUAUUUCUUCUGACCCAGAACCAGAGUCCAGACCCACUCUGGGAAAGAAAGAGGGGUGGGGAUGUUUGCUCCAAGGGGGAAGAAAUCAAGGUCCCCAGAACCUUCAGCCUUUAUACAAAACCACCUCUAAACCGGGAUCACAUCGAAUCCACACACAUGGGUUCAAACCUCAAUGCUGCCACACCCUCCAAGUGGGGAUUUUAAUUGCAAAGUAACGAAAUCUCCUGCCAAAUCUCCCUCCCAGGAUCUCAGAGGUGAAAGGAAGAACGGAGAGGUCACCGGCCCAAGCAGACCCCAGGAAUCUUCUUCCCAAGUCUCAGCCAUCGGGGAUAUGGAAGGCGGUGGGGGUGGCUGACUCUUUGGGAGGGGGCAUCCAGGAGGCCAAACGGGGUUGGGGGCAGGCGGGGCGGAAAGGAGCUGAGCAGGUAGAAGGUUAUUACGGAAUUGCUUCCAUAAAACCUGAGGCUGUUGUAAAACCCUCUGCUUUCCAAAGACUUGAUUUCCUCUUUUCUCUCUAACAUCCCCCUUUUUUUCUUUUUACAGCACUGUUCCUGGGAGGGGGUGGCCAAGAGACGCCGGGAUGGAAGACAGUCAGGCUCCAGGCUCCGGGUGGCUGGGCAGGUUUGUGAGAGGCCCAGAGAGAAGUAAGGUAAGGCAGAAAGACACCUUAGACCACCUUCACCCAGGCUGGAGGACAAGAAAAUGUCAAGGAGUUGUGCUGUUGGCCUUUGCUCACCAGGGGGGUGGAUUGAAGGCUGCAUUUCUCCCAGGGCCAGAGGUGGGUCUCCCAAGGGCCCUUCCACUCCUAGCAGAUGCCCCUUGAUCACAGACUGCGCCCCCCUCCAUGUCAGCUUGGCGCCAGAGCCCCAUCCGGUCGGGCCUCUUUCCCGGCCCCUUUCCACAUUCCCUUGCCUCAAGCAGGGGGGAAGAGUUUGGGAACAAAAGUUAGCUUAUGCUUUGGACCGUCCCCUCCUUCCGCCAGUACUUCUAGCUAUUCCUCUCCUGGGCCGGGAGCCAGCAGCCUAGAAUGGGUUGAGGUCAAAGAGGGUAUCAUGGCUUUGCCCCUGCCCCCCCCCCCCCCCCCACCGCAUCAUCUCCUGUCAGACCACCAGUCUGGAGUGAACUGCCCAACAGCCUGGGCUCCCCAUUUAGCCUGCACAUCAGGCCCCUCUCCCAGGGGGUGGCCUUUAGGACCGAGCUAAACCUGUAGCCCAGCACAAGGGUCUAUGGGGAAGCCUUGGCCACUCUGUGGAACAGGAGCUGAGGGAUUGGGAAACGUAGGACUUUUUCUGCCCCACCUCUGCCCCACUAGGGGGCCCUAGGAAGGACCCUGGAGGCGUACAGGCUGAGGCUACAUGGGAUCCUGACAUUUCCCCUUUAGAAUGGGACAUACUGAGCCCUCUUCGAGGACCUGACGUUUCCUGUUGAAGUGGAGUCCAGUCCCCCCCCCCCCCCCACCAAGGGUUGCAAAGAUCUCAAGGAUCCCCUGUAGCUCUUGAAACCAAGCAUUUGCCAAGUUGGAGAGGCUUUCCUUGGAAAGUCUAAACGUAGACAGGAGCCCAAGAUCCCAAGGCAGAAAGCCUGAAGCCCCAACCAGCAUUCUUUGGCUCUGCAGAAUAGCCCAGCAAGGUGCCUCUGGAGAGUAGAAUGUUCUCCAUUCCCGCUUUCCCUCCCAACACCCACUUAAAAAAUACGGAAGUAGGAAAGACACCCUAGGGCUUCCCACCUCUUUUCUCUGGGGAACAUCUUCGCUGUUUCUGGGUGAAGGAUCUCGAACCUCUUCACCAUUUGGCAAGAGUGAUACACUGGUCCUUAAUGCUGCCUCCCUGCCCAGCACCCACCUCCCACCCCCCACGCACACUCCUCCAGCUAAGCGAGGAGCAGUAGCUGCCAUGAGUCGGGUGGUUUAAUGUCGUUGUGUUCAGAAAUCCAGGCCCAACAACAUGAAACUACCUAAUUCACUCAGCAGCUCCAGGUCAAGGGCUCACUGAGGGGGCAGGCCCCCGUAGCCAUCUUAUGGGCCAAAAAAAAAAAAAAAAAAUGGUUGGCCAACUCACUUCAUUUUCCUCCACCACUUUCCCAACAGAACCCAGUUGCUAGUAAACAACCCAUCCAAAGAACUGGAGGCAGGACUCCAGGCACAACCAUUCAGGAGCCGGUGCCACCAGCUCAGAGAUUCCGGGAACUUUUGUUCUCUUCCAGGAGCCCCGGUGGAGGAGGAUGGGGACCCUAGGCCCAGCCCAGACCUGGACAAGGCCUCACGGCUACACCUGCCUGGUCACCACCUCUCAGCCUCCGUCUCUGCAGCUGGAGGUCUCCACAGAUAAGAUUUCUCAACUUCAAACUGUCAUCAAGGUGCAUCUCCACUCCCCGUCGUCAGGCUAGUGCCUAUAUUCCAGGGUCACCCGGGGUAGUUCCGAGAGGCCACAUCUUCAAGCCCUACACCACCCCCCUGCUUUGAGACUGGAGUAGAGACCGGAGAGUGGAGAGGGAGAAAGUGACUGCUGGAGACAUAGGUGGAAAAGCAGAGUGUGAGAAAAUACCAGGAAGACUAGGGAUGACAGGCAGGCAAAAGCGGGUUGGCCUGGACAGUCGCUGCGAAGUCGCCCUGCCGGAAACGUCCGGGGUAGGGGUGGGGGGACCUGGUUCCGCAGAGGCUGAGCCGUCCCAGGUUAAGAGGAUCCGCUCCGAAUUCACAAAUGAAACCUGGAGGCUCAGCUUGGGACGCAGAGAGCAAGGCUGCUUCUUGCUUCCCGACCUUCAGCUUGGGCCCUUCGCUCUCCGCCCCCACCGAUCUCCCCUGCGGCCACCUCUACCCCUCCAGACGCCCGCGUCGUCGCAGGUGUUCAGGCACACAGCCCACAGCGGGCGGGCGGCCGCGCGAGCCGAGGCGGCGGACUCACCUGGGCGGCGGCGGCAGCGGCGGCGGGAGCGGCCGUCGGAAGGCGCGGCGCCAGCGGCCUGUCCCCCCGUCCGGCCCGGCUCCCUCCCGCCCUGGCGCCGGAGGCGAGGGUCCGCGUGGCCACGUGUCCGGCGGGGAAGUCCGAGGGAGCGGAGGAGUCUGCCCGGCCGCCCGCUCCCCCUCCCGGGUAUAAAUCUUGGGGACCGGAAAUACAAUAAAACUUCACCGUGUUGAUGAACUUCAAAUGGUUUACAUCCCCUCCUGUCCUGAAAAGAAAGACGGCCGGGGGGCGGGUUAAAAGGAAGGGGAAACAAAUUUACGAGCCGCAGAAGCAGCCGCCUCGGCCCCUUUCUUUCGUCCGAGCAGACUGUGUCCGCGUGGAGAGAAGCAGCCUCGGCCCCCGGGACUUUGCGUCGGCUGUCCCCGCCUCCAGGGACUCUUCUCUCGCAGGAGUCGCCCGUGCGGCGGCUGGCAACUCACCGGGCCGCACGCACAGGCCCGGGCUCGGCGGACCCGGCCCUUCGCCCAAGCGGAGUUAGGCGCCCCGUCCUUCCUCGCUAAAGCCUGGCUCUGCCGGCCACGCCCUGUGGCCUCGUUCUUUGCGUCUUUCCGCUGAAAGCGGGUUUUUUGUUUUUUAUUUUUUUUCUUUUUGCGCCUCUAGCUGCCAGACCUUUGCCCUGUCCCACCCGUUUAUUGCCAGGUACUUGCUUGAAGGGGAGAGAGGGUCAGAAGGCCUGAAGGGGCUGAGCGGGGCAG
rnacentral:lncRNA from 1 species